GACGAACGCUGGCGGCGUGCCUAAUACAUGCAAGUUGAGCGCUGAAGGUUGGUACUUGUACCAACUGGAUGAGCAGCGAACGGGUGAGUAACGCGUGGGGAAUCUGCCUUUGAGCGGGGGACAACAUUUGGAAACGAAUGCUAAUACCGCAUAAAAACUUUAAACACAAGUUUUAAGUUUGAAAGAUGCAAUUGCAUCACUCAAAGAUGAUCCCGCGUUGUAUUAGCUAGUUGGUGAGGUAAAGGCUCACCAAGGCGAUGAUACAUAGCCGACCUGAGAGGGUGGUCGGCCACAUUGGGACGGAGCCACGGCCCAAACGCCUACGGGAGGCAGCAGUAGGGAAUCUUCGGCAAUGGACGAAAGUCUGACCGAGCAACGCCGCGUGAGUGGAGAAGGUUUUCGGAUCGUAAAACUCUGUUGGUAGAGAAGAACGUUGGUGAGAGUGGAAAGCUCAUCAAGUGACGGUAACUACCCAGAAAGGGACGGCUAACUACGUG
rnacentral:rRNA from 1 species